ACCGGAGAUACAAACCCAGAACAGGACCCAAACAAACACUACCGGAGAGAAAAGAGUCAAAAACACCGGGUCAGUGUUCUUUCCGGGGUGUCUGAGGGUAAAGGAGGGACUCGAUUGACUUAUACUAAGGUCAGGGGGGACGAGGAUCAAAAAGAAAAGUGGUGAUCCCCAAAAAUGAGCUCUUUCCAAAAGGCAGCCCCAAGAAAAUACUCACUUUCCUGAGACUGAAAGGCCGGCGGCUGGUGGGAGGUUCAAAGAUGGUGAAGGUGAUUGCUAACCCAUGUGUGGGGGUCAGAGGACAGCUUCUGGAGUCAGUUCUUUCUGCAAUCUGGGGAUCAAACUCAGAAAGUAGAUUUUAAUGAAGAAAACUUUCCAGAAGCACUUACAUCAGAGAACACCGGAAGCCACUCUGUUCUAGAAAGCAAG